rnacentral:rRNA from 1 species
GGAGAAAUUCCAAUCGAACCCGGAGAUAGCUGGUUCUCCUCGAAAUAGCUUUAGGGCUAGCCUCGAUAGAGAUACAUGGAGGUAGAGCACUGAAUUUCCUAGGGGGCGUCAAAGCCUACCGAAGAAUAUCAAACUCCGAAUGCCAUGGAAUUGAUUAUCGGGAGUCAGACUAUACGAGAUAAGUUGGAUAGUCAAAAGGGAAAGAGCCCAGACCUCCAGCUAAGGUCCCAAAGUACGUGUUAAGUGGAAAAGGAUGUGGGAUUUCGAAGACAACCAGGAUGUUGGCUCAGAAGCAGCCAUACAUUCAAAGAGUGCGUAAUAGCUCACUGGUCGAGAGGUCCUGCGCCGAAAAUGUCCGGGGCUAAAACACGACACCGAAGCUGAGGAAUGUAUUUGAUACAUUGGUAGAGGAGCAUUGAAUACGGGAAGAAGCAGUACCGAAAGGAGCUGUGGACUGUAUUGAAGAGAGAAUGCCGGAAUGAGUAGCGAGAAUAAGGUGAGAAUCCUUAUGGCCGAAUAUCUAAGGUUUCCAGGGUAAAGCUGAUCUGCCCUGGGUAAGUCGGGACCUAAGGCGAGGUCGAAAGACGUAGCCGAUGGACAACAGGUUGAGAUUCCUGUACUGCGUUAGAACAGAACUGUGGGGACACGUGUGGAAAGCACAACCCGGGAAUGGAAUCCCGGGGCAAGCGAAGGAGGAGUCACAUAGGAAAAACCGUGUGGCAAUCCAAAGGCGUGAUGCGGACCGAAUUCGAGUAGGGAAGUGUGUGAGCCAUGCGUCAAGAAAAGCCGCUAUUGUUUGUAACGUACCCGUACCGUAAACCGACACAGGUGGAUGAGGAGAGAAUCCUAAGGCCGACGGAAGAAGCAUUGCCAAGGAACUCGGCAAAAUGACCCCGUAACUUCGGGAGAAGGGGUGCCCGUGUAAAAGCGGGCCGCAGAGAAUAGGCUCAAGCAACUGUUUAGCAAAAACACAGGUCUAUGCGAAACCGAAAGGUGAGGUAUAUGGGCUGACGCCUGCCCGGUGCUGGAAGGUUAAGAGGAGAUGUCAGGAAACGAAGCAUUGAAUUUAAGCCCCAGUAAACGGCGGCCGUAACUAUAACGGUCCUAAGGUAGCGAAAUUCCUUGUCGGGUAAGUUCCGACCCGCACGAAAGGCGUAAUGAUUUGAGCGCUGUCUCGGCAAUGCAUCCGGUGAAAUUGAAGUACCAGUGAAGAUGCUGGUUACCUGCGCCAGGACGGAAAGACCCCAUGGAGCUUUACUCCAGUUUGGUACUGGGAUUCGGUAUUGCAUGUACAGGAUAGGUGGGAGACAAAGAGGUAGUGACGCCAGUUGCUACGGAGUCGAUGUUGGGAUACCACCCUUGCAGUAUUGGGUUUCUAACCAGCCGCCGUGACCCGGCGGUGGGACAAUGCCAGGCGGGGAGUUUGACUGGGGCGGUCGCCUCCGAAAGGGUAUCGGAGGCGCCCAAAGGUUCCCUCAGAAUGGACGGAAACCAUUCGAAGAGUGCAAAGGCAGAAGGGAGCUUGACUGCGACACCGACGGGUGGAGCAGGUACGAAAGUAGGGCUUAGUGAUCCGGUGGUAUUAAGUGGGAAUGCCAUCGCUCAACGGAUAAAAGCUACCCUGGGGAUAACAGGCUUAUCACUCCCAAGAGUUCACAUCGACGGAGUGGUUUGGCACCUCGAUGUCGGCUC